rnacentral:rRNA from 1 species
CUGUGAGCUCGAUGAGUAGGGCGGGACACGUGGUAUCCUGUCUGAAUAUGGGGGGACCAUCCUCCAAGGCUAAAUACUCCUGACUGACCGAUAGUGAACCAGUACCGUGAGGGAAAGGCGAAAAGAACCCCGGCGAGGGGAGUGAAAAAGAACCUGAAACCGUGUACGUACAAGCAGUGGGAGCACAGAGCAAUCUGUGUGACUGCGUACCUUUUGUAUAAUGGGUCAGCGACUUAUAUUCUGUAGCAAGGUUAACCGAAUAGGGGAGCCGAAGGGAAACCGAGUCUUAACUGGGCGUUAAGUUGCAGGGUAUAGACCCGAAACCCGGUGAUCUAGCCAUGGGCAGGUUGAAGGUUGGGUAACACUAACUGGAGGACCGAACCGACUAAUGUUGAAAAAUUAGCGGAUGACUUGUGGCUGGGGGUGAAAGGCCAAUCAAACCGGGAGAUAGCUGGUUCUCCCCGAAAGCUAUUUAGGUAGCGCCUCGUGAAUUCAUCUCCGGGGGUAGAGCACUGUUUCGGCAAGGGGGUCAUCCCGACUUACCAACCCGAUGCAAACUGCGAAUACCGGAGAAUGUUAUCACGGGAGACACACGGCGGGUGCUAACGUCCGUCGUGAAGAGGGAAACAACCCAGACCGCCAGCUAAGGUCCCAAAGUCAUGGUUAAGUGGGAAACGAUGUGGGAAGGCCCAGACAGCCAGGAUGUUGGCUUAGAAGCAGCCAUCAUUUAAAGAAAGCGUAAUAGCUCACUGGUCGAGUCGGCCUGCGCGGAAGAUGUAACGGGGCUAAACCAUGCACCGAAGCUGCGGCAGCGACACUGUGUGUUGUUGGGUAGGGGAGCGUUCUGUAAGCCUGUGAAGGUGUGCUGUGAGGCAUGCUGGAGGUAUCAGAAGUGCGAAUGCUGACAUAAGUAACGAUAAAGCGGGUGAAAAGCCCGCUCGCCGGAAGACCAAGGGUUCCUGUCCAACGUUAAUCGGGGCAGGGUGAGUCGACCCCUAAGGCGAGGCCGAAAGGCGUAGUCGAUGGGAAACAGGUUAAUAUUCCUGUACUUGGUGUUACUGCGAAGGGGGGACGGAGAAGGCUAUGUUGGCCGGGCGACGGUUGUCCCGGUUUAAGCGUGUAGGCUGGUUUUCCAGGCAAAUCCGGAAAAUCAAGGCUGAGGCGUGAUGACGAGGCACUACGGUGCUGAAGCAACAAAUGCCCUGCUUCCAGGAAAAGCCUCUAAGCAUCAGGUAACAUCAAAUCGUACCCCAAACCGACACAGGUGGUCAGGUAGAGAAUACCAAGGCGCUUGAGAGAACUCGGGUGAAGGAACUAGGCAAAAUGGUGCCGUAACUUCGGGAGAAGGCACGCUGAUAUGUAGGUGAAGUCCCUCGCGGAUGGAGCUGAAAUCAGUCGAAGAUACCAGCUGGCUGCAACUGUUUAUUAAAAACACAGCACUGUGCAAACACGAAAGUGGACGUAUACGGUGUGACGCCUGCCCGGUGCCGGAAGGUUAAUUGAUGGGGUCAGCGCAAGCGAAGCUCUUGAUCGAAGCCCCGGUAAACGGCGGCCGUAACUAUAACGGUCCUAAGGUAGCGAAAUUCCUUGUCGGGUAAGUUCCGACCUGCACGAAUGGCGUAAUGAUGGCCAGGCUGUCUCCACCCGAGACUCAGUGAAAUUGAACUCGCUGUGAAGAUGCAGUGUACCCGCGGCAAGACGGAAAGACCCCGUGAACCUUUACUAUAGCUUGACACUGAACAUUGAGCCUUGAUGUGUAGGAUAGGUGGGAGGCUUUGAAGUGUGGACGCCAGUCUGCAUGGAGCCGACCUUGAAAUACCACCCUUUAAUGUUUGAUGUUCUAACGUGGACCCGUGAUCCGGGUUGCGGACAGUGUCUGGUGGGUAGUUUGACUGGGGCGGUCUCCUCCUAAAGAGUAACGGAGGAGCACGAAGGUUGGCUAAUCCUGGUCGGACAUCAGGAGGUUAGUGCAAUGGCAUAAGCCAGCUUGACUGCGAGCGUGACGGCGCGAGCAGGUGCGAAAGCAGGUCAUAGUGAUCCGGUGGUUCUGAAUGGAAGGGCCAUCGCUCAACGGAUAAAAGGUACUCCGGGGAUAACAGGCUGAUACCGCCCAAGAGUUCAUAUCGACGGCGGUGUUUGGCACCUCGAUGUCGGCUCAUCACAUCCUGGGGCUGAAGUAGGUCCCAAGGGUAUGGCUGUUCGCCAUUUAAAGUGGUACGCGAGCUGGGUUUAGAACGUCGUGAGACAGUUCGGUCCCUAUCUGCCGUGGGCGCUGGAGAACUGAGGGGGGCUGCUCCUAGUACGAGAGGACCGGAGUGGACGCAUCACUGGUGUUCGGGUUGUCAUGCCAAUGGCACUGCCCGGUAGCUAAAUGCGGAAGAGAUAAGUGCUGAAAGCAUCUAAGCACGAAACUUGCCCCGAGAUGAGUUCUCCCUGA